AGCUCUGCCCGUGCAAACAGAGAACACCACUGAGAGCUACAGAAUAAAAGAAGACGCCAGAGAGGAAGAUCAACAGUGGAGAUCUGCAGAUGUGGAAAUCUACGUAGCUUACAGAGAAACCACAACCACCAAACCAACAGAAGCUGAAACCAACCAGAGCUGCAGCUCUGCGACUGCAACCACUUCUCAGCACCAAACUGAAGAUGACUGGACUAAAGUCAUCUACGCAGAAGUAAAGUUCUCCAACAGAAAGACGGCAUCUGCUCCCAGAUCUUCCUGUGCUACCAUGACGGAUGUUAUCUAUGCUGAGCCUCGGGUGGCUAAAACCAGCCACGAUGGGCCGCUGCACUCCAACGCAGCUUAGCUUCAGCUCUGCUGCUGCCAUGUUUGCCCUCACAGAUCAGCAGGAAGCUAGAAGCUGAGGUGAUGAUCUGAAACCCAUUUACACAACGAUGGUUUCACAGAAACAGGCGCUGUAGCUCCGCUUCUUCAAAGAUCACCACCAACAUGCUUCAGAUGGGGCUGCUUUACCUCAGGUUCAUUAAAAAGCCGUGACCCUACAGACUGCUUCAUAACCUUCAGCCUGGGCUUCCAUGUCACUGCAAUAGAUGUAAACAGUUUAUAUGAACUUUUCCUCUGUUGAUGACGUCAGAUAUUAAGGGAAAGUAUAUUUGCACUGAAUUUGAAAAGUGGUGGCUUGAGAUGAAGAAAAAAUAUAAGCUAAUGUGGAAACAUGAAAACAGAAACAUCAGAUUCAAUUCAGUUGUAAAUAAGCUUAAUAUAUAUACAGCGGCACCUUCAACAGAUCAAAAACCACAAACUGCUUUAAAAACACGCACACAAAAAUUUAAGUUUGCUGUUUUAUCUUAAGAUUUAUCUUCUAACAUGAUACAGCCUGAAACUGGUUAAGUCAUUCUGAAUAAAUGGUCUUCAGCUGCUUCUUAAAAUAAUCAGCAGAAUCAAGGCAAAGAUGGAGGCAACGCCCUCUACCGUCCAGGGGCACGGCUCUAAAGGAUUCAUCCCUCUGGUCCAUGGAACCGUUAACAGAAACGUCAACGACUAAGAACACUUAAAAUAAACAAGAAAAGUAGCAGAACAGAGUUGAAAGCCGUUGGUAAGGAAAGUGUUUUGAUCAGAGUUGCUCCAGAGCUUAGGUUCAGUCACCUCUGGUUCCCAGUCUGGAUCUGGGGAUCUCUAGAGACAAGAACCAGUUGAUGUGAGGCCCUGUGCAGACGACAACGGUUUCAGUUUCUGUUAACACAUCCACAUGACUCUUUAAAUUACACAGAACGCUCGGAAAAAUGUUAAAAACAGUGUCAUUUAGGUAGUAGUAGGUAGUGUGUUCCUUGAAACUCAGCUCAGUCAUAGCUCGCUACCAUGGCUUCCCCAAACAGGCAGGUUCUGUUUAUGUGACAACGGAGACCAGGAUGUGUUCAGAACGGUGUAUUUCUGGAACAUGUUUCUGAAUCCUGCUGUCUGUAGAGAAAACAAAUGUUUUUUGUGGAUGAAACAUAGAAACCAAACAAAACUUUGUCACCAAAAAACAUUUUCGUGUAAACGGUGCCUAAGAGUCCUGGCUGUAAGGUUGGAGUGAAGCAGAUCAGAUAGAUAGUGUGGCGCCAAGCUAGUUAAGACUUUUUUUUAUU